AUUGAACGCUGGCGGAAUGCUUAACACAUGCAAGUCGAACGGCAGCAUGGUGUGUAGCAAUACACACUGAUGGCAAGUGGCGGACGGGUGAGUAACGCGUAGGGAUCUACCCUGUAGAGGGGGACAACCCGGGGAAACUCGGGCUAAUACCGCAUACUACUCUGAGGAGGAAAGCUGGCUCGCAAGAGCUGGCGCUAUGGGAGGAACCUGCGUCCGAUUAGGUAGCUGGUGAGGUAAAAGCUCACCAGGGCGAUGAUCGGUAGCUGGUCUGAGAGGAUGACCAGCCACACUGGGACUGAGACACGGCCCAGACUCCUACGGGAGGCAGCAGUGGGGAAUAUUGGACAAUGGGGGCAACCCUGAUCCAGCAAUUCCGCGUGUGUGAAGAAGGCCUUCGGGUUGUAAAGCACUUUGGACGGGGAAGAAGGCAUUCUGUUUAAGAGAUGGGAUGUUUGACGGUACCCGUAGAACAAGCACCGGCUAACUCUGUGCCAGCCGCCGCCGUAA
rnacentral:rRNA from 1 species